AAUUAUAUAUGUAUACUUUGCUUCAAUUUUUAACUGUUUCUUUGCUUCGUUUUUUCAUUAUUCUUUACAAAUGGCAUCAAGCCAUUCAAGACUGGCGGAUGGAUUCAAGUCAAUUCGAGAAUCAAUCUUUGAAACAGUACACUACUUGCUUUGUAAAUAUGCAAAUGAGAUCUAACCAAACAGAGGGACAAACAGACAAACAUCAAUUACGCUGGAUUAAACUGUACCUUCAUGGAAUCCUCUUGCUCAAAUUGGAGUUUAAGUUGUGCACCAUAUUAAAAAUGUCGCAUGGAUCAAAGUAUCCUAAAUAGGGAAAAAAACAUAUUCAUACCAGGACCAUUUCGAGGGUCUCACCAGAGUAGCUGGUGUACUGCUGCUAGCUAUGGAUGAUUUUGACUUGGAUCUUCCAAACAGUCUUCAAAGGCUUGAUGGAUGCACGAUCAGUUAUUGCUAAGUUGGCAGCCAUUUCAGAAGAUAAAGUAAGAAGGGAUGAAAGCUUUGUUGGAAGGAUUAAUCUUUACCGAAUUUGUUGUGAGGAAUUAUAUUCGUUUUUGGUUCGAUGAAUCAAAAUUUGGAGGUGUUAUUUGGAUGAUCCAUACGGAGAUUUCAGAUAUAUUUCAGCCCGGAUCCGAAAUAGUAAAUUUCAGGUUAAUUUUAGUUAUGACCCGAUCCGAAGAUAAUUUUGUACUCCUCUUUUAUUAAUAUAGAGA